AGUCGGGUUCGAAAUACUAAGAAAACAGGCAGCAUGGCGGACGAUGUGAACGACAUCGGGAAGAAAGAUGAUGAUCAAGCGGAAAGGGAGCAUUUUAUCAGGAUUAUUAACGCCUUCAAGUUCUACAGCCAGAAGAAAACUUGAAGCAAAUGCCACCUACAAACUUUGAUAUGGACAAGGUCAAGACAACCCUAAAACAGUUCGUGAGAGACUGGAGCGCUAGUGGGGAACAAGAGAGGAGAGAGUGUUAUGACCCUGUUUUGUCUGAGGUCAAGGAAAUCUUUAAGGACAGGGACAGGUCUGGUGUGAGUAUACUGGUUCCUGGGGCGGGCCUGGGGAGACUGGCCUUUGAGUUUGCUUCCUGUGGCUUCAGGUGUCAAGGAAACGAGUGGAGUCUGUUUAUGUUGCUGGCCUCCAACUUUGUUCUAAACAAGUGCACAGAGGUCAAUUCUUUCACCCUGUACCCAUGGAUACACCAAUGGACGAACAACACAAUGACCGCUGACCAAACACAACCAGUACAAUUCCCAGAUGUUAACCCUAGUGACCUGCCCCCUACUUCAGAUUUUUCAAUGGCUGCUGGAGAUUUUCUAGAAGUGUAUCAAACCCCAGACACGUUUGACAGUGUGGUUACUGUGUUUUUCCUGGAUACAGCACACAAUGUUAUAGCCUACAUAGAGACUAUAUAUGAUAUACUGAAGCCAGGGGGCUACUGGGUUAACCUAGGUCCUCUAUUGUAUCACUAUGCAGACAUUGAGAACGAGACUUCCAUAGAGCUCAGCUUUGAGGAGGUGAAAAAGGUUGUCAAGAAGGUCGGAUUUCGUAUACAGAAAGAGGAGGCUGACAUACCUACAACUUACACCCAGAAUCCAGCCUCCAUGCUUCAGUAUAAAUACCACAGCGUCAAGCUGGUGUGUCAAAAACCACAUGAAUCGGACACCACGUGACGUGUCACAUGACAUCCGGACAAGAACACCCCACUAUGAACAUUGUACAUUGUAGCUACAGAGUGUUGUUUUUAAUAGACUUUUUUUAUCAAUCACAGAGGGAAUGUGAGAGGCAAUUCAGGUUUCUUGUACUGAGUUAGCAACUUUUUAGGGAUGUAGAAUAGAUUUUUUUUUCUACCUGAAAAUUGUACACAAGAUCUCAGGAAUGAAAAUAUGAGCCAUGUUUGUAUAGAAUCUUCUCUGAAAAGACAUCCCUAUUACUAACUGUUAGUAAUAUUUUACACGGUUUCAUGUGGAUUGAAAUGAAUCUUAAAAUGCUGUUUUUUCUUUCGGUUUUACCAUGUUUACCACAGAAAUUGACCAUGAUGUAGACAAACAUUGAAACUACUGUAUUUGGUUAAUGUGAAGGGUUCAGUGCAUAUAGAAUGUCAUAAGUUUGAAGAUUUCUGCAACUUUGAUAAGCUGAGAGGUUGUACUUGCAUUUGGAAAACAUGAUUGAAUGGAUUCCUAUGCAAUAUUUACUAGCAGACGUGUGUAGAGAAUUUGCCAAAUACAGUACUGCUCUGGUUUAUUUUCUUCUUUUAAAACUAUACAUGUCUAUGUUUAAUCCUGAAUAAAAACAAUGGUUUCUAAU
rnacentral:misc_RNA from 1 species